UUUUGAGUAUGCGUAUGGUGUCCAUUGUCACGUAAUCGUAUCGGGUUAAGAAGUUAUUUGCGUGUUCGAAGUUUGGUUGCGCGUUGCGCGAUUACUUGCUAGUUGCAAGCAGUUAUUUUUAUCGGUGUACUGCUACAAAUUAUUCGAUUGUUGUAAAAGACGUCUCCAGGGCUAUUACGAGUCAUAACAUAUCAAAAUUGAUGAAAAUACGUCCUAAAAUAAUCUCCCUUCGUUGUCUCAUACCAUUAUUAUAUAUACUGUCUGAUGUUUUGGAGCAUUAGUAACAUCCAGUACUGCGUAACUAUGACUGUGUAGCUAAUAUCUAAACCCCAGAAAGCACCAAGCUGGUAUUCUGAAGGGGGUGUGGAAUCUGAGAAACAACCAGUAUUCAAGAAUAUUGCUACCAAAAAGAUGUUUUUGGGAGUUAAUUUGACAAACUUAACCAUGAUAGCGUCAUGAUACUUAUUCAAGAAACUGGACUAAGCAAUAAAUGCUUGUGUGUGAAAAAAUAAACGUGUUUGGAGUCCAGUGAACAACAUGAGCCAUAGGACACUAAUGACAGCAGCAGAGAAGCUUGCCGCUGUUCCUGAUGUGGAUAUCGACCCAGAA